rnacentral:rRNA from 2 species
GCAGUCGAACGAACUCUGGUAUUGAUUGGUGCUUGCAUCAUGAUUUACAUUUGAGUGAGUGGCGAACUGGUGAGUAACACGUGGGAAACCUGCCCAGAAGCGGGGGAUAACACCUGGAAACAGAUGCUAAUACCGCAUAACAACUUGGACCGCAUGGUCCGAGCUUGAAAGAUGGCUUCGGCUAUCACUUUUGGAUGGUCCCGCGGCGUAUUAGCUAGAUGGUGGGGUAACGGCUCACCAUGGCAAUGAUACGUAGCCGACCUGAGAGGGUAAUCGGCCACAUUGGGACUGAGACACGGCCCAAACUCCUACGGGAGGCAGCAGUAGGGAAUCUUCCACAAUGGACGAAAGUCUGAUGGAGCAACGCCGCGUGAGUGAAGAAGGGUUUCGGCUCGUAAAACUCUGUUGUUAAAGAAGAACAUAUCUGAGAGUAACUGUUCAGGUAUUGACGGUAUUUAACCAGAAAGCCACGGCUAACUACGUGCCAGCAGCCGCGGUAAUACGUAGGUGGCAAGCGUUGUCCGGAUUUAUUGGGCGUAAAGCGAGCGCAGGCGGUUUUUUAAGUCUGAUGUGAAAGCCUUCGGCUCAACCGAAGAAGUGCAUCGGAAACUGGGAAACUUGAGUGCAGAAGAGGACAGUGGAACUCCAUGUGUA